rnacentral:rRNA from 1 species
CAGUCGCCACGGGAAUACGUAGGGUGCGAGCGUUAAUCGGAAUUGCUGGGCGUAAAGCGUGCGCAGGCGGUUGUGUAAGACAGGUGUGAAAUCCCCGGGCUUAACCUGGGAACUGCGCUUGUGACUGCACAGCUAGAGUAUGGCAGAGGGGGGUGGAAUUCCACGUGUAGCAGUGAAAUGCGUAGAGAUGUGGAGGAACACCGAUGGCGAAGGCAGCCCCCUGGGCCAAUACCGACGCUCAUGCACGAAAGCGUGGGGAGCAAACAGGAUUAGAUACCCCCGUAGUCCCUGUCUCUUAUAC